rnacentral:rRNA from 1 species
UGGCGAARCCGAACCACUCCCCGUAGUGGUCGGUUCGACAGUUGCCGCCGAUGGGUUUCCGUCGACCGCUGGAGACACGGUAGCGGUUAGCGGCGAGUGGUCGGUCACCCACCCGACCCGUCUUGAAACACGGACCAAGGAGUCUAACAUGUGCGCGAGUCGCAGGGUCUUGAAAAGGCCUUUGGGCGCAMUGAAAGUGAAGGUCUYUUACGGACCGAGUUGGGACUCCCUUCCCGGGAAGCACCAACGGCCCGUCCCGUCCGAUUCGUCGGUGGGGCGGAGYUGGAGCGCACACGUUGGGACCCGAAAGAUGGUGAACUAUGCCUGGGCAGAACGAAGCCAGAGGAAACUCUGGUGGAGGUUCGCAGCGGUCUGAC